rfam:Chlorocebus sabaeus isolate 1994-021 chromosome 12, whole genome shotgun sequence.
GCCGGGUGCGGUGGCUCAAGCCUGUAAUCCCAGCACUUUGGGAGGUCGAGACGGGCGGAUCACGAGGUCAGGAGAUCGAGACCAACCUGGCUAACAUGGUGAAACCCCGUCUCUACUAAAAAAUACAAAAAAANNNNNNNNNNUUUUUUGUAUUUUUUUAGUAGAGACGGGGUUUCACCAUGUUAGCCAGGAUGGUCUUGAUCUCCUGACCUCGUGAUCCGCCCGUCUCGG